rnacentral:pre_miRNA from 1 species
AGGGGGAACGCAGGAUCCUGGGCUAUGUCCCCCGACGCCAGUACCCGGGGCCUGCGCUGCUGGAAUCACACUCCUGGGCCCCGCAGCCCCCU